rnacentral:rRNA from 1 species
UGGGGAAUAUUGCACAAUGGGCGCAAGCCUGAUGCAGCCAUGCCGCGUGUAUGAAGAAGGCCUUCGGGUUGUAAAGUACUUUCAGCGGGGAGGAAGGGAGUAAAGUUAAUACCUUUGCUCAUUGACGUUACCCGCAGAAGAAGCACCGGCUAACUCCGUGCCAGCAGCCGCGGUAAUACGGAGGGUGCAAGCGUUAAUCGGAAUUACUGGGCGUAAAGCGCACGCAGGCGGUUUGUUAAGUCAGAUGUGAAAUCCCCGGGCUCAACCUGGGAACUGCAUCUGAUACUGGCAUGCUUGAGUCUCGUAGAGGGGGGUAGAAUUCCAGGUGUAGCGGUGAAAUGCGUAGAGAUCUGGAGGAAUACCGGUGGCGAAGGCGGCCCCCUGUACGAAGACUGACGCUCAGGUUCGCAAGCGUGGGGAGCAAACAGG